rnacentral:rRNA from 1 species
UACGUAGGGUGCGAGCGUUAAUCGGAAUUACUGGGCGUAAAGGGUGCGCAGGCGGUUUUGUAAGUCAGAUGUGAAAUCCCCGGGCUUAACCUGGGAAUUGCGUUUGAAACUACAAGGCUAGAGUGUGGCAGAGGGAGGUGGAAUUCCAUGUGUAGCAGUGAAAUGCGUAGAGAUAUGGAAGAACAUCGAUGGCGAAGGCAGCCUCCUGGGUUAACACUGACGCUCAUGCACGAAAGCGUGGGGAGCAAACAGG